UGUCCAAUGCGGGGAUCGAACCCGGGUCGUAGUGGUCGUAAACCAAACGGUUUAACCAGCCUUCCACCGACCUGACCUGAGAUAAAC
rnacentral:tRNA from 1 species